rnacentral:misc_RNA from 1 species
AAACUGCGAUAAGUAGUGUGAAUUGCAUUUAGUGAAUCAUCGAAUCUUUGAACGCACCCUGCACUCACUGGUAUUCCGGUGAGUACGCCUGUUUCAGUAUCAUUGAAAACACACAAUCAAAACAUUUUCUUUGGUUUGAUUGGCUUUGGGUCUAUCAAAAAGUUUGGCUUGUUUCUUACAAGCCAAGCGGCCUGAAAUAUAUUGUCUGGCUAAUUGCAUCGUUGAUGAUCGCUAUUAGACUUUGGCUUUUUUAAGUGAACUGGAGGUUGAUUAACCAGUUUUAGCUUUAGUCAAAUGGUCAUUGUAAAAAAAAUCUCGAUCUUGGCUAGGUGUUUAUAGCCGAAAAUUUUUUUUUGGCUAUAACCGAAACCAAUAUAAUCACAUUUAGUUAUCGAUCUGAAAUCAGGUGGGACUACCCGCUGAACUUAAGC